UAGUUAUUUCAGUUAAUCCUAGCACCAUGCAUGCAGGACAUGCUCUUGGAAGGAAAUAUUGUGAAGUUGUUAUCAGGUUUGUGAUGAAAAGGGAUGCAAAGCUACCUCGCCCGUAUCCUGGUGUGCAAGAGAUGGCUGAUGCUAAGGACCUGUCAAUUGCAUGGCCAUAUAACAGGAUCAAGAAAUGCAAGCCUAAAAAACCAUCCCAUGGAACAGGUAGUGGGAAGAAGUAGCUGGAAGUAGAAUGCAGCCAAUGAUUGGAUCAAAGUGCUCAUGACAAUGUGUUUUUGACUUUUUAGCUAUAGAUAAAAACUUGGGUUGGACUUACUAGAGGUGGAUCAUUUUGUAAAGAGUGGAAGUGAACUAUGAGACCUGGGUUGUGGAAUCGAAUACCUCUUGCAUUUUGGCUAAGCUUA